rnacentral:rRNA from 1 species
CACGUAGUUAGCCGUCCCUUUCCGGUAAGCUACCGUCACAGUGUGAACUUUCCACUCUCACACCCGUUCUUGACUUACAACAGAGCUUUACGAUCCGAAAACCUUCUUCACUCACGCGGCGUUGCUCGGUCAGGGUUGCCCCCAUUGCCGAAGAUUCCCUACUGCUGCCUCCCGUAGGAGUCUGGGCCGUGUCUCAGUCCCAGUGUGGCCGAUCACCCUCUCAGGUCGGCUAUGUAUCGUCGCCUAGGUGAGCCAUUACCUCACCUACUAGCUAAUACAACGCAGGUCCAUCUUGUAGUGGAGCAAUUGCCCCUUUCAAAUAAAUGACAUGUGUCAUCCAUUGUUAUGCGGUAUUAGCUAUCGUUUCAAUAGUUAUCCCCGCUACAAGGCAGGUUACCUACGCGUUACUCACCCGUUCGCCAACCCAUCCAAGAAGAGCAAGCUCCUCUCUUCAGCUUUCUACUUGCAUGUAUUAGGCACGCCGCCAGCCGUUGUCC